AACCAUUCUAUGAACAUUAUCAGGAUCAAGUUGAUGAAAAGGUUGGCGUUUGUUCUUGAGCUGGACUUGAGCUAUCCAAUGCCUCCUUCCCCUUUCUUCUCUGUCAAAGUCCAUUGGCAAUGGUGUGCAGUCCCUCAGCGGGCACCUGUCAUCAAAGCCUCUUACAUGACAAGGAGAGCAUGUACCACUUGCUCAACUUCAUUUGUGUUCACAACUACAAGGGGAUGAAGCAGCUGCAAGGAAAAACAUCAAUUACAGAAGCAGCUGCAAGGACAUACGAAGGUUCUAGAGGAGGAAAGGAAUAAUAUUUUCAGUCUCCAGGCAAAAAAUGACUGAAGUCGGUCCAUCUUUUCAAGCACUACAUUACAUUUUAUAGCCUAUAGAGUAAAUGUGAUCUGAAAUUAUUUUGUCCUUACUCUUCUAUUUGUAUGCUUAUUCUGAAAUUACUUUGCACUAUUGGCCAAAUGAUCUACCCAUCACAUUUUUGGAAA